GACGAACGCUGGCGGCGUGCCUAACACAUGCAAGUCGAGCGGAGACUGUUAGUAAUAGCAGUUUUAGCGGCGGACGGGUGAGUAACGCGUGGGCAACCUACCUUUCACAGGGGGAUAACACUGGGAAACUAGUGCUAAGACCGCAUAAAAUCACAGGAUAGCAUUAUCCAAUGAUCAAAGGAGAAAUCUGGUGGAAGACGGGCCCGCGUCCGAUUAGCUAGUUGGUGAUGUAACGGACCACCAAGGCGACGAUCGGUAGCCGAACUGAGAGGUUGAUCGGCCACAUUGGGACUGAGACACGGCCCAGACUCCUACGGGAGGCAG
rnacentral:rRNA from 1 species